GGGAAUGGUGAAAAGUACCCCGGGAGGGGAGUGAAAUAGUACCUGAAACCGUGUGCUUACAAUCCGUCAGAGCGCCCUUGUGUGGUGUGAUGGCGUGCCUUUUGAAGAAUGAGCCUGCGAGUCAGCGGCAUGUCGCGAGGUUAACACGUGUGUGGUAGCCGUAGGGAAACCGAAUCCUAAUGAGGGUGAUUGUUAGUGGCAUGUCCUGGACCCGAAGCGAAGUGAUCUACCCAUGGCCAGUGUGAAGCAGCUGUAAGAGGUUGUGGAGGCGCGAACCCACUUAGGUUGAAAACUGAGGGGAUGAGUUGUGGGUAGGGGUGAAAGGCCAAUCAAACUUCGUGAUAGCUGGUUCUCCCCGAAAUGCAUUUAGGUGCAGCGUCGUGUGUUUCUUGCCGGAGGUAGAGCUACUGGAUGGUUUAGCGGGACCAACAUCUUAGCGACAUCAGCCAAACUCCGAAUGCCGGUAAGUGAGAGCACGGCAGUGAGACUGCGGGGGAUAAGCUUCGUAGUCGAGAGGGAAACAGCCCAGAUCGCCGGCUAAGGCCCCUAAGCGUGUACUAAGUGGAAAAGGAUGUGGGAUCGCGAAGACAACCAGGAGGUUGGCUUAGAAGCAGCCAUCCUUGAAAGAGUGCGUAAUAGCUCACUGGUCGAGUGGUUCUGCGCCGACAAUGUAGUGGGGCUCAAGUACACCGCCGAAGCCGCGGCACUCAUACUUUUGUGUGUGGGUGGGUAGGGGAGCGUCGUGCAUAAUGUGAAGCCGCCGAGUGAUCGUUGUGGUGGAGUGUGUGCGAGUGAGAAUGCAGGCAUGAGUAGCGAAUGAUGAGUGAAAAACUCAUCCGCCGGAUGACCAAGGGUUCCUGGGUUAAGCUAAUCUUCCCAGGGUGAGUCGGGACCUAAGGCGAGGCCGACAGGCGUAGUCGAUGGACAACCAGUUGAUAUUCUGGUACCCGGAUGGAAGCGCCCGUGGUGAAUCAGUGAUACUAACCGCCCUGAAGCCUGAUGGCGGUCUUUUGGAUUGUUGUUGGUGUGGAUGCGUGGGAUCUGAUCUGGUAGUAGCCAAGCGAUGGUGUGACACAGGAAGGUAGCCGAGCCACUGAGUGGAUUGUGGUGUAAGCGUGUAGCCCGCAUGGUAGGUAAAUCCGCUGUGCAUGGUGGGUGAGGCGUGAUGCGUACCCCUUGUUGGGGGAUGUUGGUGAUCCUAUGCUGUCGAGAAAAGCAUCUAGCGAUGUUUCCAUCUGGCCCGUACCCCAAACCGACACAGGUGGUCAGGUAGAGAAUACUAAGGCGAUCGGGUGAACUGUGGUUAAGGAACUCGGCAAAAUGCCCCCGUAACUUCGGGAGAAGGGGGACCACUGCUGGUGACAGACUGGUUUUGAGCUGGUGGUGGUCGCAGAGAAUAGAGGGAAGCGACUGUUUACUAAAAACACAGGUCCAUGCGAAGACGAUAAGUCGAUGUAUAUGGACUGACGCCUGCCCGGUGCUGGAAGGUUAAGAGGACCUGUUAGUCACUUUGGUGGCGAAGCGGAGAAUUUAAGCCCCAGUAAACGGCGGUGGUAACUAUAACCAUCCUAAGGUAGCGAAAUUCCUUGUCGGGUAAGUUCCGACCUGCACGAAUGGCGUAACGACUUCCCUGCUGUCUCAACCACAGGCCCGGCGAAAUUGCAGUACGAGUAAAGA
rnacentral:rRNA from 1 species